rnacentral:misc_RNA from 1 species
GCCAGGACUGAGAACAAGAUGCAUUCUAGGAAGCCGGCUUUUAGCAAUGUUGCUAAUACAGGAGGCCCUUCACGUGAUCGGGCAAUAUAUGUUAUGUCAUAUCUUAGAGGUCAGCAUGUGGAAGUCUAUGCUAAAAAUGGAUCUAUAAUAACUGGAAUAUUUUAUGGAACCGACGCUGACAAAACUUUUGGAAUUCUUCUGAAG